rnacentral:pre_miRNA from 4 species
CAGCGCCCCUUCCUCCACCCACUCAGCUGCGACGUGGCAGCCGAGCGUGGGCCCCGGGGCGACGC